ACGACUGGGCAUUGUCCCCCAGUUCCCCCAAAUUUGGGCAUUGUCCCUAAGUCUUCCAACGGACUGGGCGUUCCCCCCGGACACUGGGGACUGCCCCCCCGGGGUCUCGCUCACCUUCAGCAG
rnacentral:other from 1 species